rnacentral:rRNA from 1 species
AGAGAGAGACAUGCGCGCAUAUCAAUAAGCGGAGGAAAAGAAACUAACAAGGAUUCCCCUAGUAACGGCGAGUGAAGCGGGAAGAGCUCAAAUUUGAAAUCUUAAAGGGUUUCCCUUUACGAAUUGUAGUUUAAAGAAGUGUUUUCUGUUGAGGUUUUGGUAAAAGUUCCUUGGAAUAGGACAUCAUAGAGGGUGAGAAUCCCGUAUUUGACCUUUACUUUCAACUUUGUGAUACACUUUCAAAGAGUCGGAUUGUUUGGGAAUGCAGUCCAAAAUGGGUGGUAAAUUUCAUCUAAAGCUAAAUAUUGGCGAGAGACCGAUAGCGAACAAGUACCGUGAGGGAAAGAUGAAAAGAACUUUGAAAAGAGAGUUAAACAGUACGUGAAAUUGUCAAAGGGAAGCGUUUGACACCAGUGUUGUUUUUCUGAAAAUCAAUUAAAGAACUGUUUAUGCUAAGCUGUUUAGACUUUAUCAGCUAACUGUUUAGUUUUGAGCUUUUCUUUAAUGCACUUUUCAGUUAACAAGUCAACAUCAAUUUCUUUUGCUGUAAAAAAGCUUGAGGAAGGUGGCUUGAGAUUCGUCUUAAGUGUUUAUAGCCUCUUGCCUAUGCAGUCGGAGAGAUUGAGGUCUGCAGCGUAGAUCCUUCGGGGCUAAAUGCAUUUGUGCUAAGUUAUAGCAUUUUAUAGACAACUUGUUGACUAUGAUUUGUCUUGUAGCUUACUCGCUUAUGUUAUUUUACCUACGCUUAGGAUGUUGACGCAUGAGAUAUACGC